rnacentral:rRNA from 1 species
AUGGCGCCGGGGUUCACCAAGUUUGAUGUGGAGAAAUUCGAUGGCACGGGUAACUUCGGUCUAUGGCAGACAAGAGUCAAGGAUAUUAUGGCGCGGCAGGGAAUCUUGAAGGGUUUGCAGGAAACGAAGCCGGACAAGGUUGACAACGAUGCGUGGGAGGAUAUGCAAGUGCAGGCGGCCGCUACCAUACGGCUUUGUCUUGCGGAUCAGGUCAUGUAUCAUGUCAUGGACGAAGAUUCUCCUAAGGGAAUUUGGGACAAGUUGGCAAAUCGUUAUAUGUCCCAAGUCAGCGACCAAUAA